GUUGUAUUCCCAAGAUCCUGCACAAUGCCCAGGGGUGCAGUAAGUGUCCACUAACCCUAAGCCACUCUUGUGGACAGGUGUCUCCCUGUUAGUCCACUUGGCUCCACUGCCUGAGGACAACCAAUCACAGAGUGUCCAGCUCCUACCGUCACUUCUAGACACUGAUGAGGUACACACUGCAGAGUUUCCCAUACACUGCUGAAAAGACUAAGAAAAACAACUCAGAAACAAGUCUUUGUAGCAGUGUUUUAAGAGUGGCAGGUAGGAGGGAGCCAUCAGACAAAUCCUAUUUUCCUCCCUACAGCAUGUGGUUCCAAGGAAAAGCGUGUAUGGAGGUUUCCUGCAUGACUGGGCAGGUGAAGCUGUGAUUCUGCAGUGGGCUAACAGAGUGGCCAUGGUAGCAGGAAUGGAAGCCUUGUAUAGACCCAAAUGUGCUCUCUUCAUCAAGGAUUGUGUAGCUACUGCUACCGAUAAAGGCCAAAUAACCACCAGCAAUGAUCAACACAGAGCCUGCAAUAUGACACCAUCCUUGGAAAGACCACCCGGACACUUAGUGGCAUAUUCAUUAUUUUAGAUCUUUUCUACUCUGGAGAGGGUAACCAUUUACCCUUGAAGUGACAUUCCUGGUAUGGAUUUAUCCACAGUGCCUUCCCCAUCUCAGGGCUUACAGACAUCUAGUCUAUUAGCAUCAUAUCCCAUCCAACACUGCCAUGGCAAAGGAGAUGACAAAUGGCCUCAAUCAUAGGCUUCGGUGGUUUUACCAUGUACACCAUCAUCCUGAAGUCUCUAGAUCUCCCUGCUACUUCUUAAUUUGGAGGAAGAGUCACCCUAGAGGACAGGGGUCAGCAAACUGUGACCUGUGCCUUGAAUCUAGUCUGCCACCUGUUUUGGUAGAUAGAGUUUGAUCAGAACACGAUCAUGCCCAUUUAUUUAUGUAUUGCAUAUAUUUGCUUUGGCACUAUAAUGUCAGAACAGGGCAGUUAUGAAAGAAACUGCAUGGACUGUAAAUAUGCUAAAAUUUACUACCCAGCACUUUAUAGAAAAAGUUUCCUGACCUCUGAUUUAGGACGUGAUCUCUUGCUUGCUUAGGGGCUUCCAAAGGGGCUAUGUGAUACAACCAAAAAAGUGCAGACGAGUUAAUUUUUUGUCGGCAAACU
ensembl:lncRNA